GCAGUAGCCACGGUAACACGGAGGGUGCAAGCGUUAAUCGGAAUUACUGGGCGUAAAGCGCACGCAGGCGGUUUGUUAAGUCAGAUGUGAAAUCCCCGAGCUUAACUUGGGAACUGCAUUUGAAACUGGCAAGCUAGAGUCUUGUAGAGGGGGGUAGAAUUCCAGGUGUAGCGGUGAAAUGCGUAGAGAUCUGGAGGAAUACCGGUGGUGAAGGCGGCCCCCUGGACAAAGACUGACGCUCAGGUGCGAAAGCGUGGGGAGCAAACAGGAUUAGAUACCCGCGUAGUCCCUGUCUCUUAUAU
rnacentral:rRNA from 1 species